rnacentral:lncRNA from 1 species
AGGAACUAAAACCAAAAUCACCCCAAAGUAUAGGGACUAAAAACAUAUUUAACCCAAAAAUUAAUAUUAAAAACAUAUUUAAUUUGAUAAAUAUUUUUUAAGCUUUUAAUUAAUUAUUUAAUAUUUUUAACUAGAUAAUUUAAAUAAUAAUUGAAAAAUUUAAUAUUUAAAUUAUUUUUAAUUUAAACAUAAAAAAUAAAAAAUAAAACAGGCAAGUAAAUCAAGAUAUAUGGACUUGUCUUUAUAUAGGUUUCCUCUUCCUCCGUAUAUAUGCAUCCAGUC